rnacentral:rRNA from 1 species
GACGAACCGUGCGAACGUUGUUCGGAAUCACUGGGCUUAAAGGGCGCGUAGGCGGAUUGCCAAGUCUGUGGUGAAAUCCUCUGGCUUAACCAGAGAACUGCCGCGGAUACUGGUGAUCUCGAGGGAGGUAGGGGUGUGUGGAACUGUGCGUGGAGCGGUGAAAUGCGUUGAUAUGCACAGGAACUCCGGUGGCGAAGGCGACACACUGGACCUCUUCUGACGCUGAGGCGCGAAAGCUAGGGGAGCGAACGGG